UACGUAGGGGGCAAGCGUUGUCCGGAAUCAUUGGGCGUAAAGAGCGUGUAGGCGGUCCGGUAAGUCGGUUGUGAAAGUCCAGGGCUCAACCCUGGGAUGCCGACCGAUACUGUCGGACUAGAGUUCGGAAGAGGCGAGUGGAAUUCCCGGUGUAGCGGUGAAAUGCGCAGAUAUCGGGAGGAACACCUAUGGGCGAAGGCAGCUCGCUGGGACGUUACUGACGCUGGAGACGCGAAAGCGUGGGGAGCAAACAGG
rnacentral:rRNA from 1 species